rnacentral:rRNA from 1 species
GACGAACGCUGGCGGCGUGCUUAACACAUGCAAGUCGAGCGAACAGACGAGGAGUUUGCUCCUCUGACGAUAGCGGCGGACGGGUGAGUAACAUGUGGAUAACCUACUUAUAAGACUGGGAUAUUUACGGGAAACCGGCGCUAAUACCGGAUAAUAUAUUGAACCGCAUGGUUCAAUAGUGAAAGUCGGCUUUGCUGUCACUAAUAGAUGGAUACGCGCCGCAUUAGCUAGUUGGUAAGGUAACGGCUUACCAAGGCGACGAUGCGUAGCCGACCUGAGAGAAGGGUCGGCCGCACGAGAGGUGGAACACGCUCCAGGCGCCUGCGGGAAGCAGCAGUAUGGUAUGUUCCGCAGUAGGCGGGAACAUGACAGAGCGGCGCCGCGUGAGUGGUGGAAGUGUUCUGAGCGGAAAGCUCUGUUUUUAGUGGAAAACAAAUGUUGAAUUAGCUGUAGAGGUCUUGACGGUACCGAGUCAAGAAGCCACGGCUAACUACGUG